rnacentral:rRNA from 1 species
GUGGCAGCCGCCGCGGUAAUACGGAGGAUCCGAGCGUUAUCCGGAUUUAUUGGGUUUAAAGGGUGCGUAGGCGGCUUUUUAAGUCAGGGGUGAAAGACGGUAGCUUAACUAUCGCAGUGCCCUUGAUACUGAAGAGCUUGAAUGUAGUUGAGGUAGGCGGAAUGUGACAAGUAGCGGUGAAAUGCAUAGAUAUGUCACAGAACACCAAUUGCGAAGGCAGCUUACUAAGCUAUGAUUGACGCUGAGGCACGAAAGCGUGGGGAUCAAACAGGAUUAGAUACCCCGGUAGUC